rnacentral:rRNA from 1 species
CCUACGGGAGGCAGCAGUGGGGAAUAUUGCACAAUGGGGGAAACCCUGAUGCAGCGACGCCGCGUGAGUGAAGAAGUAUUUCGGUACGUAAAGCUCUAUCAGCAGGGAAGAAAAUGACGGUACCUGACUAAGAAGCCCCGGCGAGCUCCGUGCCAGCAGCCGCGGUAAUACGAAGGGGGCACGCGUUAGCCGGAUUUACUGGGUGUAACGGGAGCGUAGAAGGCAGCGCAAGUCUGGAGUGAAAUCCCAUGGCUUAACCAUGGAACUGCUUUGGAAACGGGGCAGCUAGUGUGCAGGAGAGCUAAGCGGAAUUCCUAGUGUAGCGGUGAAAUGCGUAGAUAUUAGGAGGAACACACGUGGCGCAGGCGGCUUACUGGACUGUAACUGACGUUGCGGCUCGAAAGCGUGGGUAUCGAACAGGAUUAGAUACCCCUGUAGUC